rnacentral:rRNA from 1 species
CCUACGGGUGGCAGCAGUGAGGAAUAUUGGUCAAUGGGCGCGAGCCUGAACCAGCCAAGUAGCGUGAAGGAUGACUGCCCUACGGUUUGUAAACUUCUUUUAUAAAGGAAUAAAGUGAGGCACGUGUGCCUUUUUGUCUGUACUUUAUGAAUAAGGAUCGGCUCACUCCGUGCCAUCAGCCGCGGUAAUACGGAGGAUCCGAGCGUUCUCCGGAUUUAUUUGGUUUAAAGUGAGCGUAGAUGGGUUGUUAAGUCAGUUGUGAAAGUUUGCGGCUCAACCGUAAAAUUGCAAUUGAUACUGGCAGUCUAGAGUACAGUUGAGGUAGGCGGAAUUCGUGGUGUAGCGGUGAAAUGCGUAGAUAUGACGAAGAACUCCGAUUGCGAAGGCAGCUUACUAAACUGCCACUGACAUUGAUGCGCGAAAGUGUGGGUAUCAAACAGGAUUAGAUACCCCAGUAGUC